GGAAACCCAAAUUUGGGUGAAUCAACUACCAAUUUUUGGGUAAACUGAACUAAGCGUGUAAGCAAACGGGAAAAGGCGAAUGACACGUCAGUCUUGUAAAGUGUUUCGAGCGAUGAAGUUGCGAUGGAAUUGCUCCUGUUGCAAUUCGGCUGAUUGAGCCAUUAGUUUUGAAUGUGCCGGUUCCUCCUUCCGGACACUACAAUGGCACAGUUGUUUUGUUUGGCAUUGCCGUUGAUGUAAACCAAGACGAUAGAGGUUGAUAUUGGAAUCAUUUGUGUUGGUA